UUCCUCAGGCUUUCUGAGUCUCUACUCCUA
rnacentral:piRNA from 2 species